UGCUCGGUAGCUCAGCGGUAGAGCGGUCGGCUGUUAACCGAUUGGUCGCAGGUUCGAGCCCUGCCCGAGCAG
rnacentral:tRNA from 1 species